AAACUGGAGAGUUUGAUCCUGGCUCAGAACGAACGCUGGUGGCGUGCCUUAUACAUGCAAGUCGAGCGAGGUCUUCGGACCUAGCGGCGG
rnacentral:rRNA from 1 species